rnacentral:rRNA from 1 species
UACGUAGGGUGCGAGCGUUAAUCGGAAUUACUGGGCGUGAAGCGUGCGCAGGCGGUUUUGUAAGUCAGAUGUGAAAUCCCCGGGCUCAACCUCGGAACUGCCUUCAAAACUGGCGACCUGGAGCAAGAUAGAGGCAAGUGGAAUUGCGAGUGUAGAGGUGAAAUUCGUAGAUAUUCGCAGGAACACCAGUGGCGAAGGCGACUUGCUGGAUCUUUGCUGACGCUGAGACGCGAAAGCGUGGGGAGCAAACAGG